rnacentral:rRNA from 1 species
GUGAACGGCCAUAGCGGCUUGGAACUACCUGUUCCCAUUUCGAACACAGAAGUCAAGCAAGCCCACGUAUCAUCGAGUACUGUACUUCAGUACGGGAAACUUGGUUCGCUGUUCACA